AUUGAACGCUGGCGGCAUGCUUUACACAUGCAAGUCGAACGGCAGCGCGGGCUUCGGCCUGGCGGCGAGUGGCGAACGGGUGAGUAAUGCAUCGGAACGUGCCCAGUAGUGGGGGAUAGCCCGGCGAAAGCCGGAUUAAUACCGCAUACGACCUGAGGGUGAAAGCGGGGGACCGAAAGGCCUCGCGCUAUUGGAGCGGCCGAUGUCGGAUUAGCUAGUUGGUGGGGUAAAGGCUUACCAAGGCGACGAUCCGUAGCUGGUCUGAGAGGACGACCAGCCACACGGGGAGUGAGACACGGCCAAGACCCCAAGGGGAGGCGGCGGGGGGGAAUUUUGGAAAAGGGGGGCAACCCUGACCAAGCCAUGCCGCGGGGGGGAAGAAGGCCUUGGGGUGGAAAACCGCUUUUGUUGGGGAAGAAAUCCUCGGGGCUAAAACCCCGGGGGGAGGACGGUACCGGAAAAAAAAGCACCGGCUACCUACGG
rnacentral:rRNA from 1 species